CUGAAACAAAUCAAAAGACAGACAGACAAACAAAGAUCCACAAAACACAUAGAUGUCCCACUCUGACAAAAAUCCACUAAACCAAGAGAAACAAAACCAAAUACGGCCACAGCCGUAACAGUUGCCAUGGCGACAUCUAAACACUCCAUCUCAGCCACACACACACACAAAGAUCUCCAGUCUUACAAAAAUGCAGACAAAGACACAGCUGGGGAGGCAGAGGAGUGGAUUCUGCUGACAGAAGAUAAGAGCAAAGCUCUGAUGGAGGAGCAGGAGGAUCUGACGGGAGCCGUCGAGAUCAAGAGCUCCUUUAUAUUCUGCUGUGGCUCCAGCUGACCACCAGAGGUCAUCAUCACUGAAGCUUUGACACAACUGUUUGAGAAGCUUCACUGCUUCAUGAGGCUUCACUUCACCACCACCAAUUCAUCAACAUGUACUUCCAACAGGAACUGAAACACAGAAUAAAUUCAUAUUUUCCUCAAAGAAAUGUAUUUUUUUUCCAAUUCUUUAUUUUUCAGAAAGAGGCAAGUAGGUGGGAGUUACAUUUUUAAAACAAAUAACAUACAAGAUCCACUCUCUUUCCUUUUUUUUUCUUAACAGGGGAGGUAAAUAUGUGGAACAUUAACGAGGGCGGGAGAGUAAAAUAAAAAAUAAAUAAAUAAAAUAAAAGAUAAAAGUAAAGGGGGUUUAACGCAGUGCACAUUAAAUAAGUUUACAACCAAUGUUAUGACCAGUAGAAGAAAAGGAAAAGUUAACAAAUUAGUUUGAACUUAUUUCAACAAAAUCCAACCUUAAAGGCUUAAUAUGCUCAACCCAUUUGGUCCACAGUUUAAUAAAAAUACAUUUCCUGAGACGAAUAGAAAAAGUGAUUGCUUCCAUAAAGUAUAUAUCAUUUACAACAUUUACCCAGUCUGAUUCCAUGGGAGGCUCAGGAAGCAGCCAACGUCUUGUUCUUGCUUU